AUUCCCACAAAUCUGUAAUGAUCACGAAGGUGGUUUUCCCAGGGCGAGGCUUAUCCAUUGCACUCCGGAUAUGCUGACUCCUGCGAUAUCCCCAAAUUUGGGAAACUUGACUGCAUAAUUUGUGAUAGUGGGGGACUGCGUUCACACUUUCCCGUU
rnacentral:snRNA from 1 species